UGUGAGCAGCAGUUUCCCUUCAACGAACGGGUCAAAUUCGUGGAAGCCAUGUGCCUGCUGCUUCUGGCCUACACAAACAUGCAGCCACCAUAGUAAAGUUCUUGCAAAGACAUUCUACACAAACUUGCCCAAAGGCGGAAGGAAGGCACGCACAGAUGGACACAGAAAUCACGGGGCUGCCACAGAAGCUAUGAAUGAGCAUUAACCUAUGUACAGAAAGGAGCGAAGUGGAGCUGUCCAUGGGCCGUGCACACAGUUUCAUAAGCAGGCUUGCAAC